UGGUUAGAAUCUGAAACAAAUUAGCUUAAAAUAUUUCGAAAGAGUGAUUUUAAAAAAUCUGAGCAAAUUUUUGUUGAAUGUUAAUACAAUACAUUUUAUACAAAACAAUAUUACAAUACGGUUUUGAAUGUGCGAAAGUUAAAAAAAAAUGUUUUGACUUUAAGACUUCUAUAGAUUUUCUUUCUAAAAUUAUACGUUGCAAAAAUAUAUCCGUAAAAAAUUUUUUCCUACGACGAGUAACGAGAGGAAAAAAAGAAGUGCGUUUAGGUAUGUACGUAUUCACAUAUUAUGUAUGUACAUCAACUAAGAGGAAGUUAGCACAUCGAACCAAUAACCGGCCUAUCUACUUCGCGUUAUGUUGAUGAAUGACGUGAGUCACGUCGUUAAGACUAAUCCAAAGAUUAUGCCAGGAAAUUUACUACAAAACACACAUACACAUUAUAUAUUAUAUAUAUUAAUAUAUACAUAUACAUACACACGCACAAAAAAAAACACAGCUGAUUGUGAUUAGAACGAUUUUCAUUGUAAUCGUUAACAUUACGUGUCUUGUGUGUCAGGUGAUAUAAAAGAGAGAGAGAGAGAGAGAGAGAGAGAGAGAGAGAGAGAGAGAGAGAGAGAGAGAGAGAGAAACACGAUAAAUUCUUAUUUUUCAGGAUAUUCAAAUUCGUUUAUCGAAUUUCUCGAACUAUGCCGAUGUGUGGACUAUUUUUUGUGUUUUUUUUUUUUCUUUUUUAUUUGCCUCCAAUAGACAAGCUUUUCUUAAACUGCGAUAAUUAUAAUCUCGGUGUCGUUGAUAGUUCACUGAAGGAUGAUAAAAUAAUCGGCCAAGUUUUUAGUUCGCCUGUUUUUAUCAUUUCUUUGCAGCCGUAGAACACAACAAAUUGCGAUUUGAAAUGCGAAUGAUACAUCAAUGCAUAUGUAUCCCAUGUAUACUUGUAUAUAUGUGUACGUACGUAUUUGUGUCUUCUCUUUGUUCUUCGUGGGAAGUUGAAGAGAUUAGGAAAAAAAAAAAAAAAAAAAAGAAAAAAAGAAAGAAGAAAGAAUGCCCCAGUAUAAUAUCUAGAUCGUUCAUUUUAAAUUAUACAAGUGCAUAAAUUUUAUGUACGAAACAAUGGAACUGUUUUGAAAAUUUAAUGACCUCACUUUUCUUCCUCCUUCUCCUUCUCGAUCUUCCUCAAAAAUGAAAAAAAGAAAAAGAGAGAAAAAAGAAGAUAAGAAAUUGUAGCAAUAAAAUGUACCGGUCAAAUUUAAAAAUUGUUCUCCCGCGUAAAAACAAAAGAAAAAGAAAAACAAUAAAGGAAGAAAGAAAAAAGAGAAAAAAAGAAGAGAAGAAAAUUAAAAGAGGAAAAAAAUAAGCAAGAAAUAGGUUGACCGUUAUCGAUGGUAUCUUUUGAACGGUUCGGAAGGGCACAUUUUUCUCAAUCGAGUCUCCGAUCGUAAAGAGACUCAGAAGAAGAGAACCGUUCACCGGUGUGCAAAAGGGAGUUCUCUCGGCUCGUGCUUCGCUUUCAAGCACGGUACAUUCUUUCCGCGGCCGUUGCUACACACACACAUACAUACAUACAUACAUACAUACAUACAUACAUACAUACAUACAUACAUACAUACAUACAUACAUACAUACAUACAUAUACAUACAUCAUACAUACAUAUAUACAACAUAAGUGCACGUAGCCGCACUUAUAAGCACGUAUAAGCAGAAAUCGCAAGAAUAUAUGUGUGUGUGUAUGUGUGUAUGUAUCUAUAUUAUACCUCUCGGUUCAAAUACAGUCUCUCUCUCGUCCGGUUGAAGUUCGUGGCGCGUCCACAACGAGGCGCCAGGGCGCAUGUUCAGUAAAGAAAUGACUAUCGUUGUACGUUGAAAGAACGACAGUCGCGCGCCGACCACGCAUGGAUGCGGUGCGUCGGGUGUUACGUUAGAUGAAUUUAUCUUUUCUAUAUAUAUAUAUAUUUUUUUCUUUUUUUUCUCUCUCUCUCUCUCUGUCCACGCAAAUUUUUACUAUAACAUAUUUCUAUAUUUAUCGGUAUAAUGAUAUGAAAUAAGAAAUAUUAUCUCGUGACGUUAUAAUCUUAUUUCUUGACGAAAAGAACAACUUCUUUUUUUUCUCUUUUUCUUUUUAAUAAAUCUCGUCAAUUCUUCGUCGUUCAUUCAUAUCUUUUUCUUUUUUCUUUAAAUAUAUUUCUCUGUUUCUUUUCUUUUUCUUCUUUUCUUUUCUUUUUCUUUUUCUUUUUUUUUUUUUUUAACGCGAGUGUGAAAAUAUAAGUUGUAUUAUCGAAAUCGUAUUACGUUUGUCAUAAGUGAUAUAAUAUUAAAUAUCAACAGGAUGAAUGACAUUUUUUUUUUAAUCAGUAGUGAUUGAUUCAGUGCGAGUAAAUAAAAUAAAUAAAUAAAUAAAUAAAUGAAUACAUACGUAAAAGUACGUACAUCGUGUGAAACGAUCAAUCGUGUUUCGUAGUAUUUAUCGUCUCGCGGGCAACUCUCUUUGAGUUAAUCUCGACCAAUAGGAUUUCUCCGAGAUCAUCAAUUUUCAAUCUAACAUUUUUAACGGUUUUACGCGUGUGAAUAUCUACGACUAAUUCGAAGUUGCCAUCACACCAUAUAUAUAUGUAUAUAUAUAUAUAUAUGUACAAGUCCAUCAUAAUUCUUCGAAGUAAAAUCGUGGUAACGUUAGUACAUCGGUAAUAUGGUGGUUGUGUGUUUGUAGUGUGGCAAAAUUCUUUUGUCGAAUUAGCGGACGAUAAGUGUGAGAAAAAGAAGAAAGAUUUAAUUGAAAGGAGAGGGGGAAGUCAUUCGAUGUUCGAAAUUACAUUGGAGAAAUUUCAUUGGAAUGACCAACCAAUUGACGGAUGAAAAAGGAAGGAAUUCGAAGAAAAUAGAAGAAAAGAGAAGAAAUAAAAAAAAAAAGAAAAGAA